UACGAAGGGGGCUAGCGUUGCUCGGAAUCACUGGGCGUAAAGGGUGCGUAGGCGGGUUUUAAGUCAGGGGUGAAAUCUGGAGCUCAACUCCAGAACUGCCUUUGAUACUGAAGAUCUUGAGUUCGGGAGAGGUGAGUGGAACUGCGAGUGUAGAGGUGAAAUUCGUAGAUAUUCGCAAGAACACCAGUGGCGAAGGCGGCUCACUGGCCCGGUACUGACGCUGAGGUGCGAAAGCGUGGGGAGCAAACAGG
rnacentral:rRNA from 1 species